rnacentral:lncRNA from 10 species
GCCACCAUUCCUCUUGCUCCACUCCAGCUGGCCACCUGGGCUGCUACUGGAUCUGCCUGGCUCAGGGCUAGGAUAUAAAAGCUUCGGCAUCCAGAUGGGUGUUUUUAGAGGUUGGGACCCUGAGACCUGGACCAGACUGGGUGAGAACUACACAGUGGUGGCCCAGAGUGAGUCCCCUCUUCCUCCAAGUGUCCUACCCAGGGCUUGCUCUGAGGUGCCCGUCUCCUCCUGUUCGUUGUCAAAAAUUGGAGCAUCUUAACCUAAGUGCAGGUGAUCUAAUCUGAGCUCCAAAUCCUUCUCAAAGGCCCUCUUGCUGGAAUUUUGGGCUGCUUAUGUCACAGUGGAAGUAGACAGAAGAAAACGGUACUCUUGGACGGGCACAGUGGCUCAUGCCUGUAAUCCCAGAACUUUGGGAGGCCAAGGUGGAUGGAUCACCUGAGGUCAGGAGUUCAAGACCAGCCUGGCCAACAUGGUAAAAGCCCAUCUCUACUAAAAAUACAAAAAUUAGCUGGGUGUGAUGGCGGAUGCUUGUCAUCCCAGCAACUUGGGAGGCUGAGGCAGGAGAAUCGCUUGAACCCUGGAGGCGGAGGUUGCAGUGAGCCAAGAUCACGCCACCGUACUCCAACCUGGGUGACAGAGUGAGACUCUGUCUAAAAAAAACAAAAACAAAGACAAAAACGGUGAUCUAGUAACACAGAAAUGGCGACUGAGCACUUGGUCAGGGGACCUUGCACACAGGCUUGGCUCUGUCCUGUGAAUUUCUUGUGUUCCAGAAGUUCAAGGGCCUCAUCUUACUCUUUGCAGAAAUGGAACUCCAUCCUGAAGAUAAAAGAUGUCUGCUGCUGGGCUCACUUGAAGAUACUUCCUAACUUACAUGAAUAAUUAGCAUGCAUGGCCAGAGACUUGAAUACAGUGGGUGCUAAUUAAGUAGUUGUUGAAUUGAACUGGAAAGCCAAAGUGAAAUGCUCUCAAUUCUCACAAUGGAUUGUUCCUUUAUUUUAAAAAUCUCAUUCAAGAGCCACACUGUGAUCGCCUACGUGAAUCAUGCCUAUCUGUGUUAGCUCCACCUCUUCUGAUGCAGCAAAAGCGUUUUAAAAAAGCUGCACCUCCCAUUCGGAAGCUUGCCUUCCUACUGGGAAGACAGCUCCAGUGUGUACAUUCAUUCCUUGCUGGAGAGGUGGGUGUUGGGUGGAGUUGGGUGGGGGAGGAGGUGUUAAAACACCAUGGGAACAGGUUGCAUUGAAACUAUUAAAAGUCAAGGGUGGCGCCUGUGUUUUCCCACUUAAUUAACCGAGUAACACAGUUACUAGCUAAAUGGAACUUCACGGAGAGGAUGCCCCACCCGAGCUGGCUGUGUGGAAGCAAUAGGAGCUUGAGAGUUGCAACGCUGACCGCCAUCACUCUCCCUGCAUCCCGCCAUGAAAGGGAAAACACAAGUCACCACGAGGCCACUGCAAGUGGGGGGACAGGGCCGUAGACUGGACGUCAGGACACCCAGGAUGGAGCCUGGGCUCAGCCUUUAACUCACCGAAUGACCUUGGCAGGCCACUUCACGCUGCUGCAAUUCAGUGUCCUCAUCCAUAAACGCAUUGGGCAGAUGACCCUCGAGGUCCCUUUCAUCACAGACACUUUAAGUCUGAAAUUUCCUUUGGGCUUUAACAUUCUCCGCCCGAGAGGGCAGAACACUGAGGCAUCAAGACACAGACUCUGAAGCCGUGGAGUGGCUGGGGGGCCCAGACGCGGCUCAGUCAGGCGGGCACUGGCAGAACAGUUUCGGCACAGCGUGGUCCACAAAUGAAGGGCUGACCACUCAGCAACUCUGAAGACAUCGGGGUGGCUAAUGAUAUAAUUUUUCCAGUUUUUCAUAGCUAUUGAGGACAUUUAUGAAAAUCUCUUUAUAUGCAAGCAAUCGGCCACAGACCUUUAGACUGAAGUUUAGUGUUGUCCAUCUUCACAAAGAAGUGCAUCUCCUAAAAAGAACUGUGCCUUGGAAAAGUGAGAUGUAAAUUGCACAUGGUCUGAUAAAGUGGUUUGCUGUCAAAAUAGAGCCAAAUAAUAAGAUGUGCCGGAUGUAGGCAAAUAAUAUCGUUCACACUCAAAUAAUACGCAGAGCCGGUGGGGAAAUAAUAUUUUGCAUAAAUAGCUUCAGAGAGGGACGUUUAGUUCUACCACCGUCUGUUCACAUCUGAUCAAAUUUUCUCCACAAGGGGUGAGCUAAGCAGGUCUCCAGCUCAGCAUUUCCUGGAACUGCUGGGAAGCAAACAGACUCCCCUGGGAAACAUUUUUUUUUCUGUUUUGUUUAAGGAGACUCAGAAUUUUAUGCAAUUUGGAAAAAUGCAUGUCCUAGAUCAUAAAAUUAAUGUAGCAUUUUGGGUGUUAGUUUAAGGUUGAAAAAUGGCGAAAUGAAAAAUAUCAAAUGUGAAAGUAUUCCUUUUUUUGAGACAGAGUCUCACUCUGUCACUCACGCUGUAGUGUAGUGGCACAGUCAUAGCUCACUGCAGCCUUGAAAUCCUAGGCUUGAUUAAUCCUCCCAACUCAGCCUCUUGAGUAUCUGGGACUACAGGCAUGCAUCACCGUGCCAGCUGAUUUUUAAAAUUUAUUUUUAGUAGAGACAAGGUCUCACCAUGUUGCCCGGGCUAGUUUCAAACUCCUGAGCUCAAGCAAUCCUCCCACCUCAGCCUCCCAAAGUUCUGAGAUUACAGGUGCAAGCCACCGCACCUGGCCUGAAGUAUUCUUCUAGGUAGAUAAGUACAAAUGCAGUCCCUUACACAGAAUAAGAGCUCAAAGGAAUGUUGUUAUGAGGCAUUUGUGUUCUUCAUUAAUUUAGAAGACCUUGAAGACCCUAGAAACAAAGAGGUAUAUGAUAAUGUAUGAAAUUAACUCAUUCAAUACUGCAGUCUUGGAAGAGGUCAUUUAUCAUAUGGGGCAUGUGCUUCCUGAAAGGCAGCUUUAAACAUUAAUGAUUAAUUUAAAAGUUGAUGAACUAUUUAUAAAAAGAAACAGUGUUUUUUUGUUUUUAUUUGUUUUUGCAACCUACAAUGAGAUACUCCAAGAAUUUUGCUAGGAAGUUAAUAUUUUGGCAUAUAUAUUGUCUCAGGCUGCCAUAACGAAAUACCAUAGACUAGAUGGCUUAAACAACAGAAAUUUAUUUCUGAUAGGACUAGAGGAUGGGAAGUCCAAGAUCAAGGUGCCGGUAGUAGGUUUCACUAAGGCCUCUUCUCUUGCUGUGGGCACCUGGCAUCUGGCUGUGUGCUCACAUGGCUUCUCUGUGAGCGUGGAGGGAGAGAGAAAGCUAGCUCUUUGGUGUUUCUUCUGUAAGGAUGCUAAUUCCAUCAUGAGGGCCCCAUCUUCAUCUAAUCCUAUUCCCCUCCCAAAGACCCCAUUUCUAAAUACCAUCCAUUGGAGGUUAGGACUUCAAUAUAUGAAUUUUGGGUGGACACAAACAUUCAGUCUAUAACAUGUACUUUGUACAUACAUUUACUCAAAAGCUAUGCUUCUUUUAGACUGUUGCCUUGAAAGCCAGCAGGCAGGAAAGCCGGGAACAUCCAGCCAGUGUGAAGGGGCUGCCAAGAGGAAGUGAGUGGAGAAGGAAUACAGCUCUUGCGUCCUGGCUUGGUGAUGGAGGUUGGAUGGCACUGACUGCAGGGCCAGCUUUGUGGGGCCCCUGCCUUCUCCCUCAGACCUGCUUAGCAUGUUUGGUGAGGGGAAGGCAUUGUUAAGACAGUGCUUUUUCCAUCCAUCCGUGAGUUAAUUAUCCACAAGAAAAAUAGCACAAACGAUGUGACCGUCACUGGGACACCAACAGCAGCCAUCCAGGAGACCUCUGGCAGUCCCAUUUCAUCAAACAAAGUCUCCCAGGGUGGAAGAGCAGGGAUUCUGGGAGGCUACUUCUCAGUACUAGAUCUUCCAUUCUGUUCUAUCUGCAUUCUGCCCAACCAAAUUUUAACUCACUUCCCAAAACCUCAGAUACUUUGCAAUCCCAGGCCCUGAUGACAUGGCAAUUUCUCUUUGAGGGAAAUGAUGCCCCUCCCCUCAAACCAUGUGGUUCUUUCUCCUCUUCCCUCCCUUGGCUCAGGGACCAGCUUCUCCACUGACCUUCCCAGAAAACCCAGGCUUCCAGGGAUCUCGCCUCUGAGCACACAGCACAUUUUCUCUGUACCAUUUGAGCCAUCUCACCAACUCCCUGUGUUGUCAACAUGAAGAUUCUGAGGUCCUUAAGGUCGGGGGAAAAUGCAAUUAGAUUCUUCUUUGAACUUGCUCAGCUGCUGAGAACCAGGCUAGGAGAAGGCUCUGGAGUGUGUGCUGAUUGGCUCAGGCCCCCAGAUCAUCGGCCCUUGACAAACACUAAGUAAAUACAACAGGAAAUUCCUUUCCUCGACCAAGAGAACAUCUUGUUGCUAUGAAACGUGUAACAGUUAUGAAAGCCAUGACAAUGUGCUACAGCGAAACUGUCCCCCGUCAAGUAUUAGGAGAAAGAGAAAGGGACCACAGCUUAUUGGGGUGAUCACCAAGUGGCAGGUUCUGUCUAUUAUUUAAUUUAAUUUUCACAACAAACCUGUGAAUUAGGUAUUUGCUUCCCUGUGUAACCAGUGAGGAAGCUGAGCCUUGUAGAGAUUGACUUGCCCAAAGCCAACUAAUUAACAAAUGGCAGAAUAGGAAUAACAUUCAGAUUCAUUUGAUUUCUAAGUCUACGCUUUUUUCAUAUAUUAAAGCGCCUUCCAACACAUUAUACAUAUACAAGUAUAUUUUAUCACGGUAAAUUUCAGAUUUAAAACAUCCUCCUUAAUGCCAAGAAUUAAAUACAUGAAUGGGUUCUCAGAGCUUCCCUCAGUUACAUUGUGGCUUUACUCAGCUUGAUACCUGUGGACAGUGUUCAUGUCACUUCUGGGUUAGGCAAUCCUGAUCUGUCCAAUCUAAAGUGAUGACCUUCAGUGCUUUUUUGCUUUUUUCUUAUGUCAGGAAGUCAGGCAUUUAUUGAACUUUAAGGACAGACUUUAAGAAGGAACACAUGAAAAAAACUGACUAUUCUUAGUUAGCAGGGAAAUGCAAAUCAAAACCAUGAUGAGAUACCAAGUUACACCCAUUAGGAUGUCUGUAAUAAUAAUAAUAAUAAUAAGCGGAUGCGUGUAGUCCCAGCUUCUUGGGAGGCUGAGGCAGGAGAAUCGCUUGAACCUGGGAGGCGGAGGUUGCAGUGAGCUGAGAUUGCACCACUGCACUCCAGCUUGGUGACAGAGCAAGACUCUGUCUCAAUAAUAAUAAUAAUAAUAAUAAUAAUAAUAAUAAUAAGAUAUUAAGUGUUGAUAAAUGUGUGGAGAAAUUGGAGCCUCAUUCAUUGCUGGUGGGGAUGUAAAAUGGUACACCCACUUUGGGAAAUAGUCUGGCAGUUCCUAAAAAUGUUACAUAUAGAGUUAUCAUAUGACAUAGCAAUUCCACUUCUAGGUAUCUACCCAAGAGAAAGAGAAAGAUAUGUCCACAUAACAACUUGUACAUGAAUGUUUAUAACAGAAUUAUUCAAAAUAGCCAAUAAGGGGAAGCAAACUAAACGUCCAUCAACAGAUGAAUGGAAAAACAAAAUGUGGUAUAUCCAAACAAUGGAAUGUUAUUUGGUAAUAAAAGGAUUGAAUGCAAAAACAUGAAUGAAUGUUGAAAACAUUAUGUUAAGUGAAAGGAGCCAGGCACAAAAGACCAUACAUUCUUUGAUUCCAUUUAAGUGAAAUGUCCAAAAUAGGCAAAUCUAUAGAGACGGGAAAUAGAUUCGUGGUUUCCAGGGGCUGGGAAAAAGAGGGAGUGAUUCCCACUGUCUAAUGGUGUGAUGGUUAAUACUGAGUGUCAACUUGAUUGGAUUGAAGGGUGCAAAGUAUUGAUCCUGGGUGUGUCUGGGAGGGUGUUGCCAAAGGAGAUUAACAUUUGAGUCAGUGGGCUGGGGAAGGCACAGCCACCCUUAAUCUGGUGGGCAAAAUCUAAUCAGCUGCCAGCUAAUAUGAAGCAGGCAGAAAAAUGUGAAAAGGCGAGACUGGCCUAGCCUUCCAACCUACAUCUUUCUCCCGUGCUGGAUGUUUCCUGCCCUCAAACAUCGGACUCCAAGUUCUUCAGUUUUGAGACUCAGACUGGCUCUCCUUGCUCCUCAAGCUUGCAGACAGCCUAUUGUGGGACUUUGUGAUGGUGUAAGUUAAUACUUAAGAGACUCCCAUAUAUGCAUAUGUAUAUAUCCUAUUAGUUCUGUCCCUCUAGGGAACCUUGACUAAUACAAAUGGGUAUGGAUUUUCUUUUUGGGAUGACGGAGUAUUUUAAAGUUAGGUAGUGCUGAUGGUUGCACAGUAUUAUGAAUGCACUAAAAACUAUUGAAUUGUACACUGGCAUGGAUGAAUUCUACGUCAUGUGAAUUGUAUCUCAAUAAUGCUGUUAUUUAAGAAAAAAAGGAGAAAGAAAGGAAGGAAGGCAAAAGGAAGAAAGAAGGAAAGAAAGAAAGAAGAAAGCAGGCACCCCUACUGCCUGUUCUUGUAGAGCCCAGGGGUCUGGGUCAUUCAAGAAACUGGUCCACUAGCAGUUUCUCAAGUCCCCAUGCACCUUCUCAACACCACGCUUCUGUUCAUCCCAUUCAUCCUGGGAGGCUCUUCCCAGUUCUGUCUGCUUGGCCCAGUUCCCUUCAUACCCACUCUUCCCUGUGGUUUCCACAGAGUGACCUGGCAGGUUGCCCUGCUUUCUUAUCUGUGUGCCCAAAGACUGAGCUCUUUUGGGCUUGUCACAUGGUGCCAUGGUUCCUGGCCACCUGUCCAUCUUCCUGAUUACUCUGAAGGUUUGUGGAGGGUCAGGAAACAAUUGCAGUUAUUUUUGAGCACCUAGCAGCUGGCACAGGACCUGGCAGAGAGCAAAAGCGGGUAAUCGCAUGUGGAGUGGAACUGCGGCUAUCCACACAAAGGCCUUCCAUACACGCACACCAACCCCCCACCCCCCAACCCCAUCCCAGGGUAAAGCCAAGGCAGAAUUCACUGCAUUUCUUUUUAGCCAGUUUCCUCCUUCCUGUUAAAUUUAGGGCAAAUGAUCAGCUAUGUGUGUUGUGAUUGUGAUUAAAAAAAAAAAAUCCCCAGGUUUGUAAUCCAAUUCAGGAAACUGGAGAUUCUACUAACCAGUGCUGAGAAAGACUGGCAGGUUCUGCUAGAAAUUCAGAACGCCAAAAAAGUCAAAGGCGAUUACCUUGAAAAUAGCAAUUUACCUUAUGCUAC